UAACCUGGCUCUGAUACCA
rnacentral:miRNA from 1 species